AGCAGUCGCCGCGGGAAUACGUAGUGGGCGAGCGUUGUCCGAAGUUACUGGGCGUAAAGCGCGCGUAGGCGGCUUCUUAAGUCUGAGGUGAAAGGUUCAACGCUUAACGUGAACAGUGCCUUGGAUACUGGGGAGCUUGAGUAUGGGAGAGGGCAGUGGAAUGGCUGGUGUAGCGGUGAAAUGCGUAGAUAUCAGUCGGAACACCCAUGGCGAAGGCAGCUGCCUGGCCUAAUACUGACGCUGAGGUGCGAAAGCGUGGGGAGCGAACGGGAUUAGAUACCCGUGUAGUCCCUGUCUCUUAUA
rnacentral:rRNA from 1 species